GGCGGACGGGUGAGUAAUGCCUAGGAAUCUGCCUGGUGGUGGGGGAUAACGUUCGGAAACGGACGCUAAUACCGCAUACGUCCUACGGGAGAAAGCGGGGGACCUUCGGGCCUCGCGCCAUCAGAUGAGCCUAGGUCGGAUUAGCUAGUUGGUGAGGUAACGGCUCACCAAGGCGACGAUCCGUAACUGGUCUGAGAGGAUGAUCAGUCACACUGGAACUGAGACACGGUCCAGACUCCUACGGGAGGCAGCAGUGGGGAAUAUUGGACAAUGGGCGCAAGCCUGAUCCAGCCAUGCCGCGUGUGUGAAGAAGGUCUUCGGAUUGUAAAGCACUUUAAGUUGGGAGGAAGGGCAGUAAGCGAAUACCUUGCUGUUUUGACGUUACCGACAGAAUAAGCACCGGCUAACUCUGUGCCAGCAGCCGCGGUAAUACAGAGGGUGCAAGCGUUAAUCGGAAUUACUGGGCGUAAAGCGCGCGUAGGUGGUUGGUUAAGUUGGAUGUGAAAGCCCCGGGCUCAACCUGGGAACUGCAUCCAAAACUGGCCGGCUAGAGUACGGUAGAGGGUGGUGGAAUUUCCUGUGUAGCGGUGAAAUGCGUAGAUAUAGGAAGGAACACCAGUGGCGAAGGCGACCACCUGGACUGAUACUGACACUGAGGUGCGAAAGCGUGGGGAGCAGACAGGAUUAGAUACCCUGGUAGUCCACGCCGUAAACGAUGUCAACUACCCGUUGGGUUCCUUGAGGACUUAGUGGCGCAGCUAACGCAUUAAGUUGACCGCC
rnacentral:rRNA from 1 species